rnacentral:misc_RNA from 1 species
UUUUCUGAUCCCGUCUCCAG